UACGUAGGGGGCGAGCGUUGUCCGGAAUCAUUGGGCGUAAAGCGCGCGUAGGCGGCCCGGUAAGUCCGCUCUGAAAGUCCAGGGCUCAACCCUGGAAAGCGGGUGGAUACUGCCGGGCUCGAGUCCGGAAGAGGCGAGUGGAAUUCCUGGUGUAGCGGUGGAAUGCGCAGAUAUCAGGAGGAACACCAAUAGCGAAGGCAGCCCGCUGGGACGGUAUUGACGCUAAAGGGCGAAAGCUUGGGGAGCAAACAGG
rnacentral:rRNA from 1 species